rnacentral:lncRNA from 1 species
GCUUGACAACCGCCGUGUUUCAAUAUAAGGUGGCGUUCUUAUUGCUUUGUUUUGGUGGAGUUAUUCAGCUUUUCUUCUCUUACAGGAUGACAUGCCUUAUGCGAGUGUAUUACGAAUCCACGAAACGUGGCUUGAUGGUUAUGCGGGACCUUUGGUCCUAAUGUAGGAGGCACAGCCAACGAUAGGUGAAAAAUAAGCAGGGACGAGUCAUCGUCCAGGUAACCGUGAAAAAGUUAUCAGCUCUGGAAUCUAAUUUUGUGGAUGCUGUUGUGUGUGCAGUGGCAUACAAAUAUAUUCCAGGUUUACUGAGAUUGAUAUAUGAUGAAGAAAAACGAGACAGAUGCUCACUCAGGCCAGUGUGGAGCCCCUAGUGCGACGAUCCAUGGUCGAGGUCGACUUACAACGCGUUGAAACGAGCCAGUUCUACACU